UACGUAGGUGGCAAGCGUUGUCCGGAUUUACUGGGCGUAAAGAGCGCGCAGGCGGUCGGUCAAGUCGCGUGUGAAAGCCCCCGGCUCAACUGGGGAGGGUCACGCGAUACUGUUCGACUGGAAGGCAGGAGAGGGUAGUGGAAUUCCCGGUGUAGUGGUGAAAUGCGUAGAUAUCGGGAGGAACACCAGUGGCGAAGGCGGCCUUCUGGACCAAUACUGACGCUCAUGCACGAAAGCGUGGGGAGCAAACAGG
rnacentral:rRNA from 1 species